GGCUCAAUCAGUGGAGAACAGCAACACCUGGAGCAGCUGACAGGAGGCACACCUGUAGAAGUCUUGGUUUUCCUCUCCCUGGGAUGUGUCCUCUGAGCUGUUCUUCUAAGAGAAGGUUUGGGUUGGAGGUUAGGAUCAGUUUUGGCAGGGAAAAGAGGUGUAUUCUAGAUACGUGAGGACUGAAUACAGCUGUCACGAGAAGGGAAGAUUCUGUGCCUGUGAAGGACUUACAAAGGUGUUUAAAGAAGGGAUUAGCAUCACUUUAAGGGUGGGACUCAAGAAUGUGUUUUCCAUCUCAUAUUAGGGAUUAAGCAUGAGGGUCAAAACUCAGUGGGAACCGCCACCCCUCCCAGAGAUCUGCUUUGGCCUGGACAGUUUGGCUUAAUCUUGAAUACCUUUUGACUUUGAAGAUUUAAUCAUGAUCAUGAGUCAGGUCUCUGUGCUAUGGGCUUCAAAUUGCUAGCAGGGAGACUGCCACAAUUUCAGCUGCAAUAUUUGAUGGAUAAAUCCCUUAUCCCAUCUGUUUGCUUAAUCCAGGAUUCUGAAACACGUUCAGAGAACAGAAAAGGUUCCCGUCCUGCUGUCUGGGGGAGAGUUUUGGCUGCCUGCCCAACCAACCCUAUCCCAGAGUCCUCCCAGGUGCGGGGACAAGGCUGCCCACCGUGGCACUGGUAUCGACAUAACUGAUAGCUCUCAACAUGCUGCAUCAGAAAAAGCACAGAUAAAUGAAACUUGCCAUGGAGUCAAAUCAGCCUCAGCAGGACCUGCACGGAUCAGCUGUGAUCACCAGGGUUGCACAACCUUGCACAGGUCUUCUCUCUUUGUUUUCUUGAAUUUUUCCAAGAGUUCCGGCCUGGCCACGCUGGUUUUGUGCUAAUGGACACCUAGAAAAAUAUACAAGCACUAAUUGAAGAGUCUGAGCAUGUCUCAGUGGCCCUGCGCUCCCAGCACACACAGCCAUCUGCAGCCACCAGUCAUUCGGAGCAGCCUCUCAUGGGCUGGCUUUCCUACAGGGAGUUUCUCACAGCAGGAUCAGCCACCCUUCCAGCACAUCACAGGUGUUCUCCACAUGGCGUGAGCAGGCUUUUUGCUGGGAACAGGGUGUGUGCGGGCUGAAAAGCACUGAGGAGGAACUGAGGCCAUACCUGAUCCUGGGGGGUGCCCAGAGCAGCUCUGCAAGCAAGGUUAGCGCCUUUGCUCCUCUGUCAUCACCAGUCCCUGAGAGCAAUCACCACCCACCAGCAGUUCCUCAAGAUAAGACCGAGCCAGCUGGGAGAAGAAAUCCUUUGAUAUUUCCCUGCCUCGCUGAAGACAAUCUCAUUAAGCUCCUGCAGAGGUACUGGGAGAAAAGGAACUGAUUCUGAGUAUACUUCCAAAAGACACUGAAGAAGCAGCAGGAAAAUUCUGGUUUGCACUGAGGGAGUUGUGGCAGACAGCACAGCUUGCAUGGAUGUCUCAGCAACCAGUCUGCAAGCUCCAGCAGGACCCAAGGGCCUGGGCAGAAUGAGGCCGAGUGCGGUGCUGGGAUGUCCCCGAUCCUCCCACGGAUAUCAGCAGCUGCCACACCUGGAGUCUGCAGCAAAGCUCCUUCCUCCAGAGGCCAAGAGCUGAGCCUACUGUUUCCAGCAAGAGCCUCCAGUGACCUCUCCAAGGAAUGGUGGGGAGAACUGCUUUACCAGAAUGGUUACAACAGGCAUGUGGAGAAGGCCAACAGAGUUUUUAUCUGCACCCUCAGCCUCAGUCAGCAUGCUUUGAUGGCUGUUUCCCUACAAGAAAAUCUUGUACCAUACAAUUGCUACUGGAAAGCAAACAAGAGGAAUUGCACUUCUCUCCAACAGAUGACUUCUCAUCCCUUGCAGCAUCAGAAGCAGAAAUCCCUGCAUGCCCAGCUCAAUUAGGUUCAGUGCAAGCUGGUUUAGAUACCUAAAUACCAAUGGAAAGCUUGGAUGCAAGCUAUGCACAAAAGUGACAGCUUUCUCCCAGCACAGCAGAGCUAAAUUUCCCCCAGGACAGCAAGGACAGUGGAAGAAAUCAACCUUCCCCAGCUGGAGCAAGGCUGCUGCAGCUUGCGUGAGCUGUCACACGGCCUGCAGGACAGGAAGGCCCUUUCCAUCAAAGCAUAACUGCUCUGGGAGAGCCUCUGCAGGAAAGCCAGAACAAUGGAACACCAAAGUAACCUUGCUUCUCCAGGCAGAUUUGGGGAUAAAACAGAGGAGGAGUGGCGCUGGCUUGAUGCCACAGCUCUGCAUGCAGUGAGGAUGGAGAAGCUGCGAUAACAUGUCUCCUUGGAUGAGGCUUUAAAAAUAUGGCCCUCACUUUCUUGUUAUUUUUUCAAGCAUUACAUAAAUGUUCCCCUUAAAAGGCCAAAGGCAGAUGUUUUCUUAGGACAAGGAAGUCAGGAAGAGGCAAAGCAAGCAAAAACAUCUGAUAAGUCUGGGAAAAAAAAAAAAAACAACCCUUGGCUAACUUAUUUUUCCCCCUCUUAAACAGUCAUGUUUAAAGCACACUGCAGAGCUCUGCCUAGAGGAAAAGCAGAGCCAAGCACUGGACAAUAACACUCGCUUUCUGGUAAGGAACACUGUCCUCGUUGCCUCCCUGUGGUAACUCGGGAAGUCCCAUCCUCUGCCAGCCAGGAGAGCUGGCUGAAAGCCCCUGCCAGCAGCUCCUAACGCAGCACCUGCAUGCUGGCAAAGCGGGGUUUGCAGUGCUCCUUGGGUUCGGGGAAAGGGCAAGCAAGCCACUGUCACUCACAGGAAGCGUCCGGUCCCCGAAGAGCGUGGCAGAGGCUUCAUCCGCGCCUUGGGGUCUGCUGGGAGCGGACCUUGUGCUUCCCUCCGAGCAUCCCGGAGGACAGCCGGGCCCGGCCGAAAGCUCCAGGACUUGCGGGUUUGGGGAUUUGCAGUUGGACCGCCUUGUCACAAGGUGGCAGGGACGUGACACUCUCGGGCAGGCUCCCGUUCUAAGCCUCACUGCUUCCCUUACCUAAAAAGAAGGGGAGUUAUCAGCAGUUCUUUGUCGUUUUCUUUGCAGCAGUCUUUGGGAUAGCUCAAAGGGAGGAUUAAUAGUUAUUUAAAGUUUUCAUAUUCUACCGUUCCGCACUAAAAAAAAUAAAAGAAAUAGCUUUGCUUCCUUCUGCCUGAAAGCCACGGUGUGACAUCGGAGAGUGAAGUUGUGUUAGCUCUGACUUCCCAGCGUGGAUGCACAGCUUUGGGCUCUGAUAGCAAGCAUUUGCACACAUAUAGGGCCAAUUCCUCUCUAUUGGUGCGCUUCCCACAGCUUUCACCCCUUCACAUGUCUGGAGUUUUUGUGAUUUUACCGCUGUGCUCUCUCAAGGACAUUGCAGACUGCCAUGGCAGGGAGUGGAAUCCCACCUGGUAAUGAUAAGAUAAGAUUUGUGUUAAUGAGCUACUAACAACCUGCAGGUAAAUGUUGAGUUAAUCACUGGAGCCCAGGCUGAUCAUUGUCUCUUUAUGCCUCUUCCCUGGCAGUCUUUAGAGACAGGAUUGUCAGGUUUUUAAUCUGAUGUGCAUGCAGCGAGAGAUUACUUUGCUGUCAUUCUGCAGAAAAUGUCCCUAUCGUGCAGCAGGAGGUAACAGUAACAAAUUGCUGACAUACAAAUUCAGCUUUGCACAAAUAGCAGUGCAGGAUGCCUGCUGGUCCGAGCAGUAACCAGACCAUUGCGAAUGAGAAGAAUCGACACAGGAGAAGGAAACGAGCUGAAAAAUGUAUCCAGGUAGAGCAGGUAGCAUUAUAAAGCAAUUAUCCACAAGCUGCUGUUCACUGAAAAAUAUUUGGCUUUUUUGAGCACAAUAGAGCACCCCAGAAGGUGCUUUUGUGGGUCAGAUGAGUAUGCUUCAUAUCUCAUCCUGAGGCUCCCUGAGAUUUGUUUUCUUUGUGAGCUGAAACUCACAUUUUGAUAUAUGCCAACAAAGAGUAAUCAGAAGUUUUGCCAGUUAUCCAAAGCACAGACUGCUGCAGACAAACGAGCUUGAGCCCUUACCCCUUUCCUGGGGUGUAAUGAAAUACCUCAUGCUUCUUCUGUCUCUCUUGUGGCAGCUUCUGAUCACUGCUUUCAAGAGAGUCCCUGAUUUAGCUCAGGUGUUUAACAUCAGUAUGAACUUUCCUGGGAAAAGCCAUCCCAGCCCCAAGUCUGCUGGUAGGGAACACCUCCAGGUCUCAGGCAGAGCUCCUGAAAGUGAUUUUAGUUCCUGGUGGAUUUUGGAUGGAAAGGUCCCACCCCACCUUCUGGAGGAACAUCAAAGAAAUUGUCAGAAGAAAGUAAAGGAGCCCUGUUGUUCACAGCCAUGGCAACUGGAAAACUCACGGCAUGAAAGAAACAGCACCACAGAAAGCCCUCUGCCAGUGAAUGGGAAGUAUAUAUAUGUAUAAUAGAAUCAUAGAAUAUCCUGAUUUGGAAGAAACCCAUAAGGAUCAUUGAGUCCAACUCCUGGCUCCACAAAACACCACCCAAAAACCAGACCUCAUACAGAAAAGCAGCGAGUUAUGCACAGCCAAGCCCAAAUCCAGUUUUGAGGGAUUUUCCUCCAGAGGACAGAGAUAGUCUGAGAUAAGAGUACCAGCAGAGUCAGGGAUGUGAUUUGCUGGAGCUCUCUCUCCCAUAAGCCUUUCCUUCACACUUACUUCCCACCCACCAUGUCACAUGGCAGAUUUCUGCAGGUACCAGCAUGGCUGAGAACCCCCUGGUGAAUUUAGUGCCCAGGACAGACAGACGGAUGAGCUCUGUGUUUAUUUCCACAUAACAGCUUGUCAGUUUAACAAGGAUGGCACUGCAAAAUCAGAGAAAAAAUAUGUCAGAUUUACCCACUGCGUGUCUGUAUUGCAUUGAGGAGGAGUUCAUUGCUCUUUUCCUUUGACAGGACAUCCUUAGCCCGUAGCUCUAUUUUCACACUGCUAAAGCUAUGUUAAAAUCAUCGAGGGGUCAGCUGCAAGCCUGCAGCACUGAGGCAGCGCACCUCUAAAUACAGGCUGGUGGCUCUUCGCACUUACAGGAGGGUGGGAAAAGCAUCUCCAGCAGCAGACUGCUGGGUUUAUUUGGCGUAUUCAUAAUAGAAAAAUGGGCACUGAAUAAAAGAUUUAAAAAAUGCACUUAUUGUCUGUGAUCAUGUUGCCAAGUUCCAGCCUAUAGCUACUUGUCACCCUAUACUGAAAAGCUGGUAGACCUUUAAUUUUAGCCUCUUUUGUUCCCCAUAUGCCAGAUGCAAUUAUGUGUUUAGUCCAUUUACAGAAGGCAUUUCCUAACCCAUUUUCUUUCAUAUUUUCAGAGAGAAGCGUGUGCUUGCAGAGCACAGGCUGUGUGCAGCUGCAGGUCAGCACUCAGCAAUCACUGCAGGAAGACCCCUCCUCUCCUCCUGCAGGGGGAUUUGCUGAUCUGGUAGUGCUGUGUGGAAGGGCUGCGCUGACUCCGUGGGAUGGGGCUGUCUAACAGACGAAGUGCGCAGGAUUUGCAUUGACCGAUGCCUGCGUGGCUUCAGAGCUGUUUAUGGAUGUAAGGCUUGUCGUGUCUCUUCUCCCAGACACCUCGCUGCUGUCACAGCUCAGCGUUUGCCGUAUGUUUCAGCCCAGUGCUCGAAGGUCUGACACUGCUUCCUGAUAACCGGGUGCCUCUUGGAGGGAGGAAGGCUGUCCUAUUGUUACAGGACACAGGGCUGUACCAGGGCUCUGGAAACAGGAUUUGUGCUCAGCAUCAAGCAGCAAGAAGUGUUUGCAGCACAGUCUGAGGUGACAAUUUGGAUCCCAACAUGGUUUGAGGCUUGCAACAAACUCAGUGCUCGGGUCUGGGGCUGAAAACCUUGUUAAAAUGUCCGACUGUAAAUCACUGGAGAUUUGGCUUUGAACUUCUUUGCUCCUACCUCUUCCACCACCUUUCUCUGCCACUCUUUUCCAGAUUCUGGAAGCAGUACCUCCUGGGAGUGCUUCUUCCACCGGCCUCCUGCCAGAGCAGUGAUGCCAGGGACAAGUGCUCGGGAUCUUGUUUUUGGGGAUUGUUACCAUUGCUGGGGCUGGGACAGAAGUUUUGCUUCCCAUCUGUUUUACCAAAAGAGAACAACUGAAAGCACUGUGUAACCCCUGAUCACAGGCAAAAUAUCACACAGAAGAGAGCCUUGGACAGUGCUUUCAUUCAUCUCAGACUUGACAUACGCAAGCAUCUCCCUCAGGAACUAAGCACUGCCCUGGAAAGUCUGUGAAGGGGAAAGGAUCGGUGAAGGCACUACAGCGAAGUAAAGCUACAGUGCUUUCACUGAUCAUCAUCAGUAGCCGUGGGGACUUUGAUCGGGUGUCAUUAAGAGAAGUGGGGCAGCCAGCCCACGGGUAAGCAGUGACAAAUGCAGUGUGAACCAUCAUGUCCUGCAUGGCACAGACCAGAUUGCCAAGCUUGCUUGCUGCUGCCUGCAGCCUUGGUUCGGAGGGAAGCAAAACUUGCUCUAGAAGGAAGGUGAAAAAGAAAAAAACCCAAACCUUUCACUGCAGAAAUCUCAUCCUUCAGUUGGCAAAGCUGGCAGCUGUCAGAAGAGCAAAGCUGCACAUUGACAGAGGAAAGAAACAGCAAAAGAGCUCCCAGGACAUUGUGGAAAAACCUUAAGAUGUUGACCUCACACAGAUGGAUGUACAAACAAAGAAAACAGAAUCACAUUUCGUACAUCACCAGAGAAAGACUGAGUAGCAGUUUCCACUUCAUGACCCCUUCCCGCACAUCCUGAAUGCCAUAAGGGCUGAACUCCUCCUGUUCCACAGCACUUGGAGUUGAAAUGUGUACAUCUUGAUGCAAUAAGCCCUGAAACCCACCCCAGCAACAGGCUCUGCUCCCAGGUAUGCCACAUCCCUGAUGACCCCAGGCUGCCUGGUGAGUGGCUGGUAGCUGCCAGGGAGCAAAUGUGCAGAGGAGGGGAGGAGAGGAGAAGGGAGGGAGAGGGACAGGGACAGGGACAGGGACAGGGACAUGGAGGGGAGGAGAGGAAGUGGUUGCAGCACAGAGGAAUUUGGGGCUGCAGGACAGAGAUGUGAGCUGUCAGCCAGGUUCAGGGACCUUGGAGCAGCUUGCUACAAAAUGAGAAUAGCACAUAAAUAAACUUAAGGUUUUAAUUAACAUGUUCUUUCAUUCAUGCACAAAAUUAAAAACCCAUCCAUCCUCAAUCAUCACUAUCCUUUUUUUUUUUUUAAUUUAAUUAGGAGUUUUUACUAUACUAAUUGUUACAUUUGUCCAAUUCCAUCAAAAUCAAACUAAUGACAGCCAGAUGGUUGCGACUCUCAAGAUGCCUUACUCAGGGCUAAUCCAUGCCCUCUGCUGUGCAGACGCAGGGAGCAGAGGGAGCCCGUGCUCUUCCUCCGGGCACCAAAAAGGACAGAUUAAAAACACAAACUUGUUUGGCAAGAGGCAAAACUGCUGAAGAUGGUUCUCCUGACACUGAGCUGGGAUUAUCCACCCGUUCAUAUGCUGUGCUGAACAACAUGCAAAGAAGUAAAUGCAGAAGAAUAAGGUAAUGUUCCUGGAUCAGAAACAAGGUGCAUUUGACCUCUUCAGUCAAUGUGUGAAGGAUGUGAAGAUUCAUAUGCGCUCCCUCCCCAUCAUACUGCAGAGACUUCUCCAUCCUCUUGCCCACCCUGCAGCCCCUGCUUCAUCCAUAACCUACACAGGCAAAAUUAUUAAGAGCAAGAUUAGUAUCCACUGUUUUUGUUCCACAGUAACAGACUCAAGAUGUUGUUCCUGGCAGCUCCUGAUAAUGCAUGCAUGUUACUAAUUAGAACAGUUUAUUUAAGAAGCAGUGGGUCAAACCUGUUGUGCUCACUUCAAUGAUACUUGAAAAUUAUUACAGGGUGCACCCAUUGUAAGUUAGGAUAAUUAAGGCUGCUGGUAUCAACACUCUGCCCUUCCUUAUUGCCAGUUUAAUUUCCUUGAACAUUUUUACAUCCUUCUCCUCAUUCUGCCUUAGGGGUUUGUAGUAAAAUUCAAUAACCAUUUUCCUUUCUAAUUCUCUAUUAAAGUAUCAUCCUGUUUCACCAUCACACUUAGAGCCGAAGUAAGCCUCUCUGCAGCCUUGCCUGCUGCUGUAGCUUCCCUCUGCUUGGGGCACUGUCCACCCAGAAACCAGGGGAGCUUGUGCAACUCCUCUGACACAUCCUGCAAGCAGCUUUCUUCAGGUCAGUAAGAACCUCACUGAGGACUUUGAGGCAGGCUUGAACACCCACGGAUUUUGGAAGUGUUGACUAUUCAAGCACUGGAGUAGACAUUUUGGAGUCAUCUCUUGGACUUAGUAGUCUUGCCAGAUAUUUUUUACUUACUUCAACCCUGUUAGACAUAGCAGGCAUAUGCUUCCAGAAGACACGUGGCCAGCCCAACAUGGUGCCCUGUCCAGAUCCAGGAGUCCUGGCUAGGGAUCACUUGCCCCACACCAGGACAGCAUACUGGGAUGGGGAUCAUGCAUACUGGUUAUGGCUCUGCCCUCAGCUGCUUUGUCCUGAGAGCCGUGCUCCAGGACAAAACUCCCCAGCAGACUGAUUUUUCACAGAAGCACAAGUCAUUGAUUCAGAUGGGUAAGGGCAAUUUAUUUCCUCAUCUUAACUAGCUCACCUCAUCCCUGCAGAGCCCCAAACCCACCUGCCUGACACAGCCAUGCAUCAUCACUACAGCCUUUAAACGGACAACUUCAGUUUUGCAUCUUUCCAUUUUUUGACGGACAACUUUGUUAAGAAGAAAAAUAUAUGAUCACAACUCAUGGUUACAAAGAAAAAAUAUUACUGCCCUCCUGAGGCAGACAAGGAAGGGUUAAAUGGCACCUGGGGCCUAAUGACUGCACGCUGAAGCUAUAAAAGGCUGCAGGAGGAGCAUGAGCCUUUGGAAGGAAGAUUUGGAAGUGGUUUCUGGUGUAGUUUAUACAGCUGGACAAGAGGAAAUGAGGUGUGACUGUGCUGCUAAAUGUAAGUGAUUUUAGUGGGGAAAGGGCUGGGGUGUUGUGUCAGUUGGAGAUGUUAGUUCUCAGGAGUCAAAAACUCUUCUGAUUACCUACAAAAGCCUCUCCCUUCCCCAGUACCCAAGAGAGGAGAAAGCCCCAGCAGCAAUCUGUGCCAUUCAGUGGUGUCUUUGUAGUGGAGUGCUGGGCAGAACCCACAGCUGAUGCCACACAUCUGUAGGGUUUUUGACCAGGCUUCUCCUUAUAAGCAAAAGUAGAAGAGUUAUGAGACGUGUGAUGAGUGGGACAAUGAGGCAGAGUUUAACGUCUUGUUUGUGAGCAAAUUAUGUGCACGCUGUGGCAGGAGACCUGCAGAGCUGAUACAGCUAGUGCCUGAUGCUGAUGUUCAUUAGCCAGGGACAUCCUAAUCACCUGCACAGCCACUGAACUUGGCAUGAGAGCUUGGUAGUAGUGGCAACAAUCUGUUUGUCUGCAAGGGGAGCUGGAGAAGGGGGUGCUAGCACUGGGUCCCUGAGCAGCAUGCGGUGAGGUUGGUGUUUCAUCACUCCUCUCUGAUGAGUGAGGGUGGAGGCACAGAAAGGCUCGUACAACUCUGGGCCUCUAGACUAGAAUUAGUGCACUCUGUCCCUGUGGGAUACUGGAGGACUUCCUCAUUAGUGUUCAGUGAUAUAACUCCUCUAAAAAAAUGUACGGCUGCUCCAUAGAGGUUCCUCUUUUUCUCUUGCUGCUCUUGUGCUCAGGCUGCAUUAAUAUUUUGCAGCCUCAACAUGCACAAGAUCUUUUCCUCUGUAUCAAGGCCACAGUUCGCACUGGGGGUUCUGGUAUUUCUGUGCAUUUACCUCUCAGUUAUUAUGUUAGCAGAAGAUGUCAUGUGAGUUCCUGCUCUGUAAUGGAAACCUAUAUCUACUAGUUCAUGUAUUUCUAAUUUGCAAAGGUUAACAGUAGUUUGCUUAAGCCUGAAGGGAUUCCUGUCCCAGCUCUUCAGGAGAGGGCAGAACUGGGAGAGAAGAGGAAAGCUGUAUAUGCCUGAAUUCUCGACUGGAAAAUGCUGUCUUCUAGCUGCACUCCAUAGCCUGCGUGACUUGACCUUACAGGUCUAAGGGCAGACAAAAUUCAACACCCUCUGCUAUUAUUUUGUUAAGUAUUAACCCGGUAGUUGGGGUCAGCAGCCUCAAUGAGCUACAGUCCUGCUGGAGAUAACAGGAUUCAGCUUUUGGAGGCAUCUGAUGCUUAAAUAAGUACAGGGGACAUGGCACUGCACUGGGGACAUUAGGAUGGGGCCAAACUCUGUUUCAUGUAAAUCUCCAGCUCUGAGAAAGCUGACAGUGCAUCUCACUCUGUCUGCUUCUGGUUUGGAUACCCAUCUUACAACUUGAGUAUCUGCAGAAUACCUGGGGGUUUCACCUGUACUGCAAGGACUUUAUCCUGUCUGCCAAAAAGAGCUUGCAGCAGCCACGCACAUUAAUUUUACAAGUUGGGUGUUUGCCUCUGACAAGCAACUCUUCAUAUCUUUAUGGCUAGACAUUAUUAUAUUGUUCUUUCAUUUGAUAACUGCUCCAGUAAUAGCUUCCAUUUGCAGUAAAUCUCUUGUACUGUCUUUUUUUCCUCCCCAUUAAACAUAAGACAAUAACCUUUCUGGGAAGCUGUGUGGAGAGACUCGAUGAAGCUUUAGGAGGUGAGGGUAGGCAUGGGGGGCAUGGUCAGCAGUAGCAAAGCACCUGGUGGAAAAAUGCUUUUGGAGAAAUUGUAAUUAAAUCCUGAAGAACUUGAGGAAAACCUCCCAAGUAUGCAAGCUGAACUGGAAAAUGAAUAUUUAAAUACCUCUUCAAGCUAGUAAGUCUUUGUAAAGUGCUUCUCAAUACAUGGAAAAUCUCUGAGACAAGAGAACAGACAAGUCUGGAUGUGACUGAACACAAAUAUUUGACUUUAUUA